ensembl:lncRNA
UCAGGACUGAGGAUCGAACCUGGGGUCUUUGUGCUGAGCUACAUCUUUUUAUUUUCAUUUUGAGAGAAGGUUUUGUUAAAUUUCCCAGGCUGUGCUCAAAAUUGAGAUCCUCCUGCCUCAGCCUCCCUACGUGCUGGGAUUCUAGGCUCCAUGAACUAGGCAGCUUUGCUUUGCCACAUGCUUCUGCCAUGAUGUUCCUGCCUUGGAACCAGCUGACCAUGGACUGAAACAUCUGAAACCAUGAGCCAAACAGGAUUCUGCCAAGCCACCACAUUGCCCAGGUUGGGUUCACAUUUUCCAUCCUCCUCAGACCACCCCCCCACCGGAGUGCUGGGAUUACAGGCCUUUGACUUCAUACCGGCCAAAAUAUGUUACUUUUAUCACAGGGCUCACUUUGCAAUUAUUUUUGCCUUCCAGAUAUACAUAUGGACAUAAAAAGAGAAACACAUAUUAUGUGUGUAUAUAUCUAUAUAUGUAUGUGCAUCAUAUUUAUGAAUAGAAUUCUGUAUCUUGUCUUUUUCACCAAAUAAACAUCUCCCCAUAUCAUGAAUUAAUUCUCAGAAACAUUUUACUGAAUAAAUAAUCUACCACACAGGUGUAUCAUUCACAGUUUAUUUAGUUAAAGGUACCCUAUUGCUGGACUUUUAAUUGGUUUCUAGUAUUAUAAAUGAUGCUAUAACAAAUACCGUAGAAUACUAAUGGUUUUCAGUUGCUGUUUUUUCAUGUAAAUCCCUAGACUUAGAUCCAGUAAGAGCAAACAUUUGAAUAUUUGUGAAAGUUCUUGAUACAUUGUCAAAUUGCUCUCUUAUCAUUUUAAGAAGACUCUUCUCACUAAGUCCAGCAGUUAUAACCAACUUUUAAAAACAUUCACUGGCAUUGAUUUUAAUAAAAUUUAAGGUACAAAUCAAAACCACUUUUUAUUUUUCUCUCUCUAUUUCUAAAGAAAGUAGGGAAAUCAAAAGUAGGAUUCAUGCUGCAGUUAAAACAUACAAAAUGAUCAAGCACAGUUUAAAAAAUAAAGAGUAUGUAGUGCUGAAAUUGUGCACAAGAUUGUUCCAUUGUGUUUAGUUUUAGGAACAGUUUUCUUAGGGCCAAUCCAGUGACCUUGGGCUGAUAUAGCUCCUGAAGCCUGCAUGGUUAACUUUUGACUACUUUUGAGUAGAAAAAUUCCUAGAACUUACUUAGGAACUUAUAUACUUGAAAAAAUAUCAACAGAUGAUUCACAUUAUGUAUUUAAGCUACAAAAAAUAUUUUGCCCAGGGUUUGCCCUGGGCAAUAACGGAAUUAGAAUGGUUUAAACAUUUGAUAUGCACUCUAAAUUAUGUUUAUUUUCAGUGAACUAUUUCUAAAUGAAAUAAUUUACCAUUUCAAAUAUUUGGAAACAAUGCACUUUACUAAAAUAUAGAGUAAGUUAUAGUGCCUAGAUUUUGUGGGAUUUCAGUUGCUUUGGUAAUAUAAACUCAUUCUUCCUUAGUGUUGUCAAAUCAGGCGGCUGUUUUACUUCUAGUACCAGGUUGUCAUUUUCAUAUUUGUCAUUUCUUUUGUGGAAAUUUCAAAAUGGAUAAAUCAACUUUUCCCCCUAAUUCUUAUUUUCCUUGCUGCCAGUGGACCUACUUAUCAUGUAUUUGUUUUUAUACAUUGUGACUAUUAAUCCUGAUAUGUCAAUUUCACUAGAUUAACAAAUGCAUUGCAGAUUAGUAAAAGCAUGCUCUCGGCUAUGUCUGGAUGGAUCUUGGAGACAUGGUCUUGGUGUACUCAAUCCCUUGCCUGCUCCUCUCUGGCUCUAUUCCCCUGCUCUGCUUCUUGGCUGCUGGGAACGGAGAAUCUUUGUCCCACCACACCCUUCUGUCAUGAUAUUUCUACUUUGGAACCAGCUGACUACAGACUGAAUCCUUGAAACUGUGUCCAAAUUAAACCUUUCCCUGUAUAAAUCAUGGGUGUUAGAUGCUGUGUAUCAGGAAUGGGAAAGCUAAUACAUACAUCCUGUUCAUUUAAUAUUUAAUGUUGCAAGCAAGGACAAUGCACUUUCAACACUAACCUUACAUCCAGGAUCCUUCACAGAGGCAGUCACUGCCAUCAGGUUAAUCUGGAAAUUUCUAGGGUCCAUUCUAUACAUUUAUAAAACAGAAUAAUUAUAAAAAUACAUAAUGUUGAUUGGUCCUUCUAUUUUAUCGAAAUGGUGUAACAUACCUACCAUGAGAGCAAAACACCUGAGUCCUUAUCAAUGGCUCUUUCCUUUUAAUUAUUGUACAAUAUCCUGUACCACAGGUCAUCUACCAGCCACUCUAUGCAUAGACAUUUACUUCACUUCAAGAUUCUUUGCUAAUGAGAGAUAGGGCUGCAACCAACAAGCCUGCACAGACUCUUUGCCCUCGAUAAAUGUCUUCAAAGGUAGAUGAUGUCAAGAACUUUUAAGUGUGUAUUACAGAUACCUGUAUUUUAAUAAAGAUUCAGUAAAAUUAAUUUCCAAAGUGUUGACUAUGUUGUUGACUAUAAAUGUGCCCAUUCUCCAUCCCCUUUGUUCCCCC